rnacentral:tRNA from 1 species
UCUAUAGCUCAGUCAGUAGAGCGUGCGCUUGUUGAGCAUUAGGUUGCAAGUUCGAUUCCU